UCUCUGCCUAUCCCCGGCACCAGAAUCUGCUUGGAGCUGGGGGCAGAGUUGGGGGUGGGGCCGCACCUCAUGCAGUUUCACUGCAUUGAAAAAAGUGCCAGUGGAGGCAGCUCUGACAUGCGUGCCUUGACAUGGGCUCAAGGCACGCCCCCACAAUGAUGUAGAAUAUGUAUGGCCACCUGCUGUCAGUGUAACUGCUGAGUGGAGUGCAGUACUUCUGGGUGCCACUAGAUGCCCCCAUCUCCAUUUGUGCCACAGUCAACCCUGGGCCUGCUGAUGACAGUCGCUGAGCAGAGGGAUGGCAUGCAGCUCAGAGAGGCAGGACCUGACUCAGGGAAAUUCCAGAGAUCCCACUAAGAAGGGUGUUUUUCUUGAAGAUGGUUUGUUUGUAGACUCCCAUCAUCUGUUCUACAGCAUAAUUGGAGCAUCAUAAGUUUCCUACCAAGCACAUCAUCCCUGAGCCAUGGCAGUGAUUAGUAUUGCGCAAUGCGUGCUACUAAGUGCAAGUAUGUGUAUACACAGUAUGGUACAUCUGAAUGACACUAACAAGGCUUAUAUACCCUAUGAACAAGAAAUCAUUGAAUUCGUCUGUGGACUGCCAAUCCAGCAUGGUCUUCUCAAGGACGAGGAGCGUCACCACACCAGGCCGCCAAGGAGUGCUGGGACGCGCUGAUAAACAACUCACACCAUGGCGUCAGCUGAGAUGAUGGCAUCACAUUCGACCCACAGAAGACAGGAGCUGCCUUUUUCUGUUACCAAACUGGAAAAGUCCACUGAAUUUUUUUUUUUUUUUUAAAGGCCUUGUCAUAAAAAAGAUCAGUAGCCAGUUAUAAAGGAUUUAGAAAGUGACCCAAAUCUGUGCCUAUAUCACAGGUUUCUCCAAGUUAAAAAAAACAAAAAAACUAUCAUAAGGAAUAUUACUGUCACACUGUGGAACAUUAUUGUGUGACUUACCUCUGCCAACUGUUCUACAGGUCAGGAUUCAUGUUGACCCUGUCUGAGAACCUGAUGCUCUGACAUCACGAUCUGGGAGUUUGUCAGCUGACUGCAUUCCUCCAGUUGGAUUGCUCCUCCAUUAGGUGAUCCUAUCAGCCAAUAAAAGACUUGCAGUUUC